rnacentral:sRNA from 1 species
CACACACACACACACACAUUUCCAGUGAAGCCACCAUUGUCUUGGUUCCUAACCAAAUAAAAUAAAUAAACUAGUAGGUUUUGAAUUUAUAUCAAAGUAGCAACACGAAUGCCAAAGAAACACAAGUUAUUUAAGCUGCUUGUGCAGUAACUCCCUCCAUGUCUCCCUCUGGCUUAGUGUGUGGGAACAUUCUGAGCCUAAGGAACAGGGAGAGGGUGGAUCAUUUCCUGGUAUGCUGGUGUCAGCCUUGAUCAUCCCUCAGGGCCAGUCCUGGGACAUGGUUACUCACAGAAACCACAAUCUCUUCUCAUCCCUUAUCCACCCAUUUAUGUGUCAAAUGCUCAUAUUCCAACUUAUGAGGCAUUCUUUUAUUUCAACCACCCAGGACUCAGAGGAAGCACACCCUUGUCGAUGGUGACCAUGUUCUCAUGAAAAGCCCCUGGCCAGGCACUGGCCUCAGAAUGUCUCACUUUGGUCCAUUUGAUAAUUAGGUUGAAAGCAAGAUAUUUUUCCUACAUUGACCAAGUAUUGUUCUUAAAUACAGAACCUGGGGUCUAAGUUUAUCUUCUUCCUGCUCAGAUUCUUUCUGUCUGACUCUAGGUCCAUUCCUGGAGUCACCUAGCUGGUGGUUUCCAUAUCAAGCUACAUGUAUCAAACCUCUGGUAUAUUUUUUCUCAUUACUUAUCUCCAGUAGAAUUUCCCCAUGGGUCACCUCUCACUAGUCUGUGAGUUUCUUGAAUGGAAGUGGUAACAUAUUAUUGUUUUAAAUGAAACUGUCUUGCUUAAGCUAGAGGCCAAAAGAUUAAAUGCAGGGGAUCCCUACAGGGUCAUCUAAAAAGAGGAGAGAGGAAAGUGCUCAUACAUCCCUAAGUUCUCCCACAUCCACCAGAGAGCAAGUUCAUUGAGUCUGUGAAUGCAUAGCUUAGCCAUUCCUCCAUAUUUUUCAACAAUGCCAAAACUACUUGGUCAUGGAAAAUCUUCAGCCUCGCUGACAUGUUUCUGUGACUCCCUGAGCUCUUGCAAUCAAACCAGGUUCCAUCAGAGACCAGCAUGUUCCAGGAAGAAGUCAAUAAAGGAUUUACAAAGGGACAAUCAACCUGGAAUAGAAAGCAUUGGAAACUAGUAUUGACCGGAAGUCAGAAUUCCCAUGGGGCAUGAGAAAGUUUAGGGGAAAGACAAGUGUCAUCUGAACCAGGAAGGUUCAUGGAAAAGUAGCUCCUCACAGGAACCAUGUGUAGAGAAAGGUAGACUGGACUUAGCUCCAUUCCCACAGAAUGCAGUCAAACAGGUAACUCUACCCAGGAGAAGUCAUCCUCUAGGACAGAGACACAGAGCAAGUAUGGCAGGACUGUCCUCCUUCUAAGAUCUAGAGAUGAUGACGUGCCACAUUAGCCUUCUAGAGAAGCAUGCUCCCUUCUACAAUAAACCCCUGUCUGUGCUACCACUUGGAGCUUCCAAACUCAAUUAUUUUGUCCUUAUAUCACCAUUGCUAUGAUGGAUGGAACUGAGACUUAUAGAUAACAAUGGCAGUUCUCAUGGAAAAUGACUUAAAUCAAUGCUAUUUUAUUGAAUAACUACUAUGUGACAUAGAUUUACAUGUAGACAAAUGAAAUAUUUUGUGGUCCAAGAUUUCCAGGCUCAUGAUUUUGUUGCCUGUGUUGAGAAGACAAAUAAUAGUGCAAGUCUUGUGUCUGGGGCCAAAUCAAGUCAUUACAUGUAAUAGAAAAAGCAGUGGACUUGAGGCAAGCCAUCUGCUAUGGUUUUAAUAAGUUUUUCCCAAGACCCAAGUAUCAAAGCUUGGUCACAGUUUAGUUAAAUUGCAAGGAAAAAGAAAAUGCUAAAUGGUGAGACAUGCUGGGAGAUUUUGUAUCAUUGUUCUCCAAGGAGAUUAUGUGAUUCUAUCUCUUCUUGCUUGCUUCCUGACCACCAACAGGUGAGCAGCUUUCUCUGCUGUACAUUCUUACUGUGAUGUGAUCCUUCAUCACAGGCACAAAAGCUACAAGGUCAAAUGACAAUGGAAAGGAACCUCCAGAUCUGUGAACCAAAAUAAACUUAUUAUUUUCUUAAGUUGAUUCUCUUAAGCAUGAUGUUAUAGUAACAGAGAGCUGACUAGUGCAACACUGGGAAUCUCUUCCUGGCUUUGUUGUUCCCAUGAUGCAUAACCUGACAGUGCAUUUCUCCUCAGGACUCCAUCUCCUUUAGGAGAGGAGGUAUAGACCCAAGUGACCUCUAGAACUGGGCCCUCUGCUUCUGUGAGCCCUCAAUGGCAAAAAAUCUGAGUGGUUCUGAGGUGCAUGGAGCAAUAUAGUCUGUUGUGGUCAGAGAGGCCACAGUGAGGGAAUGUGUGUUGAUCUGAGCCCAGAAGAAGUGUAUAUGGUGAAUGUUGCAGCCAAAUGGGGUGGUACCUGCCAAGUUGCAAGGGCCAAAUGGAUCUGGUCCAAGUGAAGAGGCAGCAGCCCACAUCUCCAAGAGAGGAAUAAAACUAGACCACAGGUAACAGGAGCAUCUGUGGGGGCUGGCAGGAAGGAGGUAGUUGUCACAAGCAGAUGCUGUGUACAACUGAAACCCAAAAUGUGUUUUCCCUCGCUUAGCUAAGCUGAAAAAGUGAGAUCCUCAGAAAUCAGAUAAGAGCCAAUUCCAGGUAGUUAACUCAGAAAUCAAGUGCCCUCUAGCUGUGUUUCUAAAACACUUAACAGUUUAAGUUACUCUCUUGUUUAUAAGACUUCCAAGAGUCCCUCUGCCUGUGGGAACAAGUCUAAACCCCUUAGUGUCACACAAUCCCAUCCAAUCUCUCACAGUAAGGCUGGUCAGUGCUGCACUGGGCAAGCUACUGGCUAGCUAUACUCACUGUUGUCCAGAUGAGCCUCUGUCUAUGCCAUGGAUGAUCAUUCACCCACAAACUUAGACAGUACUUAUUGAGCACUAACUAUAUGUUAUUUCUUGUGUCCCAGUUUGAAUAUGAAAUGUCCCUCACAGUCUUAUAUGUUAAUGACUGCAUCUCCAGCUGGUGAUGCUAUUUUGGGAGGUGGGGUUGAUUUCUCAAGUCUCACUUUUUCCAGUUUAGCUGACUGGGCGAAAACAAGUUUGAGGCUUCAGUGAUAGGCAGGUUCUUAAUUUGACAGGAACACACUGGUGCUUGUGACUUCCAGCCUCACUGUGUCCAGCUCCUCUACUUAAACAAAGUAGAUCCCAAAGUAACAAGCCUUUGAAAGUAAUGAUUCAUCCCCAGUCCCCUCCAUUCCCUCUGCUUCCUGAUUGCCAUGAACUGAAGAAUCUCUCAGCUGUGUACUUCUACCACCACAGUGUUCUGUCCAAGUGAAUGAGGCCAAGCAACCUGGAACUGACUGAGCCCUAUGAGUCAUAAGCCAAAUGUCUUGGUCACAGCUUCAGAAAAGUAACCCAUGUGGCCCAACUCCUCUGGUGAUCAGAGAAGUUACUAGCCCUGCAUUCCAGCCUGGAGAAAUAAUCUAAGUCUGCCUUUGUUGGUAUGUGGAACGGCUUUCGCCUCCAGCGGUGAUGUCGCUGGGUCACCUGCAGGCUACAGGGACCUGCACAUCUGUUGCCUUGGCAACGGUCAUAUAUUCCCAGCAUACAUUUGGUUCAGCCCCACCUUUACCUGGGAGCAGUUACAUCACAGUUUAAAUAAAAGCACCAGAAUUUGGCUUUUCUCUGGAGCCCUUCCAUCCUUGGACAGGAAAUUCAAAGAAUCAUGGUCUGCCUUCUUAGCAGACUGCACCUGAAAGUACAGGCUCUUGCCCACUGCCUGAAAAUAUGUCUAAGUGCUCAGUCGUUUUCCAAGGACCUGGAAAGGACUUCACUGAGCCUCUAUGCCUGGACCACCACAACUGUGGUGUUUUUGGAGGCAGCAGAGAUUCUACAAAAUAGAGAUUUGCUAGAGGAUCCGAGUCACUGAGGAAGGGCCUUGGUGUUAGACAGACCAGUCCUACUUCCUGCCUGCUCUCUGCUUCAUAACUGCAAACACAAUUCUUAUCCACCAUUAAACUGGAUUCUCACUGAGAGGCAGAUAAAAUGCAACAGUGUCAACUCCUCAUCCGUGAUCCUCUCAGCACUGACCUGGAGUUCACAGAACAGUUACAUUGUUCAGUUUGUUAGAAAUAUGGAAUCCCAAGUCCCACCUCAACCCCAACUUUAACUACUUUAUUUGUGUGAAUUGCAUGUUCACACAUGUGCCAUUUUGCAUAUGUCAGAAGAGAGAGGCCAAUGACAUAGCCCUGCAAUACAACAGACUACAACCUAUACACAGUAGACAAAGCUCAUAGUCCAUGUGGGAAGCAUUUCGAUGCCAUCAUUGAAGAAUAAGACAUAAUGACAAGGUUUUCUCCACUGUCUUCUAUCAUCUGGAACGAACUGGUCAACUUCACAAAGCCCAUGCAGAGCCAAAACGGUGAGUCACAGAAGCAGCAUUCAGUAUGAUGUGGCCCACAUGGAGCUCAAAACAACAAACCACAAGGACACAGGGCUUAGAGAUACGGCAAGAGGUAG